rnacentral:rRNA from 1 species
CCUACGGGAGGCUGCAGUGAGGAAUAUUGGUCAAUGGGCGAGAGCCUGAACCAGCCAAGUCGCGUGAAGGAUGAAGGAUCUAUGGUUUGUAAACUUCUUUUAUAUGGGAAUAAAGUGAGGAACGUGUUCCUUUUUGUAUGUACCAUAUGAAUAAGCAUCGGCUAACUCCGUGCCAGCAGCCGCGGUAAUACGGAGGAUGCGAGCGUUAUCCGGAUUUAUUGGGUUUAAAGGGUGCGUAGGUGGUUAAUUAAGUCAGCGGUGAAAGUUUGUGGCUCAACCAUAAAAUUGCCGUUGAAACUGGUUGACUUGAGUAUAUUUGAGGUAGGCGGAAUGCGUGGUGUAGCGGUGAAAUGCAUAGAUAUCACGCAGAACUCCGAUUGCGAAGGCAGCAUACCGGCGCCCGACUGACGCUGAGGCACGAAAGCGUGGGGAUCGAACAGGAUUAGAUACCCGGGUAGUC